rnacentral:rRNA from 1 species
AAAGAAAGCCAUCUAAUUAAAAAAUGGGCAGAGGAUCUGAUCUCGGAAGCUAAGCAGGGUCGGGCCUGGUUAGUACUUGGAUGGGAGACCACCUUGGAAGAGCAGGUGCUGUAGGUG